UAUCCCCCAAACUAAGGGGGGAUGAGAACCACCGACCGGGGUUCGACACAAAAACGCCGGGAGCGUUUUUGAACAGAGCUUGCUCUGGCCCCGAAGGGGCGAGCGCAGCGAGUCAAUCCCCCCCUCACCGCCA
rnacentral:sRNA from 1 species